rnacentral:rRNA from 1 species
UAACACAUGCAAGCCGAACGCUGUAGCAAUACAGAGUGGCAGACGGGUGAGGAACACGUGGGAACAUGCCCUUUGGUUCGGAAUAACUCAGGGAAACUUGAGCCAAUACCGGAUAAGCCUUUCGAGGGAAAGAUUUAUCGCCGAAGGAGUGGCCCGCGUCCGAUUAGCUAGUUGGUGAGGUAAUGGCUCACCAAGGCGACGAUCGGUAGCUGGUCUGAGAGGAUGAUCAGCCACAUUGGGACUGAGACACGGCCCAAACUCCUACGGGAGGCAGCAGUGGGGAAUAUUGGACAAUGGGCGCAAGCCUGAUCCAGCCAUGCCGCGUGAGUGAUGACGGCCUUAGGGUUGUAAAGCUCUUUCACCCACGACGAUAAUGACGGUAGUGGGAGAAGAAGCCCCGGCUAACUUCGUGCCAGCAGCCGCGGUAAUACGAAGGGGGCUAGCGUUGUUCGGAUUUACUGGGCGUAAAGCGCACGUAGGCGGAUCUUUAAGUCAGGGGUGAAAUGCCGGAGCUCAACUUCGGAACUGCCUUUGAUACUGGAGAUCUUGAGUUCGAGAGAGGUGAGUGGAACUGCGAGUGUAGAGGUGAAAUUCGUAGAUAUUCGCAAGAACACCAGUGGCGAAGGCGGCUCACUGGCUCGAUACUGACGCUGAGGUGCGAAAGCGUGGGGAGCAAACAGGAUUAGAUACCCUGGUAGUCCACGCCGUAAACGAUGGAUGCUAGCCGUUAGGCAGCUUGCUGCUUAGUGGCGCAGCUAACGCUUUAAGCAUCCCGCC